AUUGAACGCUGGCGGCAGGCUUAACACAUGCAAGUCGAGCGGGGGAAGGUAGCUUGCUACCGGACCUAGCGGCGGACGGGUGAGUAAUGCUUAGGAAUCUGCCUAUUAGUGGGGGACAACAUCUCGAAAGGGAUGCUAAUACCGCAUACGUCCUAUGGGAGAAAGCAGGGGAUCUUCGGUCCUUGCGCUAAUAGAUGAGCCUAAGUCGGAUUAGCUAGUUGGUGGGGUAAAGGCCUACCAAGGCGACGAUCUGUAGCGGGUCUGAGAGGAUGAGCGGCCACACCGGGACUGAGACACGGCCCAGACUCCUACGGGAGGCAGCAGUGGGGAAUAUUGGACAAUGGGGGGAACCCUGACCCAGCCAUGCCGCGUGUGUGAAGAAGGCCUUAUGGUUGUAAAGCACUUUAAGCGAGGAGGAGGCUACUUUAGUUAAUACCUAGAGAUAGUGGACGUUACUCGCAGAAUAAGCACCGGCUAACUCUGUGCCAGCAGCCGCCGUAA
rnacentral:rRNA from 1 species